UACGUAGGGGGGCUAGCGUUGUCCGGAAUCAUUGGGCGUAAAGCGCGUGUAGGCGGCCCGGUAAGUCCGCUGUGAAAGUCCAGGGCUCAACCCUGGGGAUGCCGGUGGAUACUGUCGGGCUCGAGUCCGGAAGAGGAGUGUGGAAUUCCUGGUGUAGCGGUGAAAUGCGCAGAUAUCAGGAGGAACACCAAUGGCGAAGGCAGCACUCUGGGACGUGACUGACGGCUGAGACGCGAAAAGCGUGGGGGAGCAAACAG
rnacentral:rRNA from 1 species